rnacentral:rRNA from 1 species
ACGAAAGUCUGACGGAGCGACGCUGCGUGAAGGAUGAAGGCCCGUGGGUUGUAAACUUCUUUUCUCGAAGAAGAAAAAAAUGACGGUAUUCGAGGAAUAAGCAUCGGCUAACUCUGUGCCAGCAGCCGCGGUAAGACAGAGGAUGCAAGUGUUAUUCGGAAUGAUUGGGCGUAAAGAGUCUGUAGGCGGUUUAGAAAGUCUUUUGUGAAAUACUUCAGCUCAACUGAGGCUCCGCAAAAGAAACUUCUAGACUUGAGGAAAGUAGAGGUACAGGGAAUUUCCGGUGGAGCGGUGAAAUGCGUAGAUAUCGGAAGGAACACCAAUAUGGCGAAGGCACUGUACUGGGCUUUUCCUGACGCUCAGAGACGAAAGCUGAAGGAGUGAUUAGGAUUAGAUACCCUAGUAAUUUCAGCCGUAAACGAUGAAAACUCACUGUCGAGCCAAUAUAUGGAGCGGUGGUCAAGCUAACGCGUGAAGUUUUCCGCCUGGGGAUUACGCUUGCAAAAGUGAAACUCAAAGGAAUUGACGGGGACCCGCACAAGCGGUGGAGUAUGUGGUUUAAUUCGAUGCAACGCGAAAAACCUUACCAGGGUUUGAAAUAAUUUCAAAACUUCUUGAAAGAGAAGCCUCCUUCGGGAUGGAAUUACAGGUGGUGCAUGGCUGUCGUCAGCUCGUGUUGUGAAAUGUCAAGUUAAGUCUUGUAACGAGCGCAACCCAUGUCUCUUGUUGCUGUUUACAGUGCUUAAGAGAAACUGCCGAUCAACAUCGGAGGAAGGUGUGGAUGAUGUCAAGUCAGCAUGCCCCUUACAUCCUGGGCUACACACGUACUACAAUGGUCGAGACAAAGGGUCGCUAACCUGCAAAGGCAUGCCAAUCUCAUAAACUCGAUCUCAGUUCGGAUUGUACUCUGCAACUCGAGUACAUGAAGGUGGAA